rnacentral:lncRNA from 1 species
AAAGGGACCUUAAAAGGACAUUGUUUUUCGUUGUUAUGUUAAGCCUUAAAAAUGGAAAGGGACCUUAAAGAGACAUCAAUGAUAAUCUUGUGGUCUGUUAUCACACAAAAAAUUGUACACGAAAAGGUAAAAAGUGAUCUUAUGUACUGGUCUCCUUAGAACUAUAGCAUAGAUCCUGUUCAAGUCAGGCCUUGCUAUUCAUAGUGCUUGCUCAGAUUUCAACAAUCUUGGGCCACAUUGUUAAUAUGUUUCUAAAGUGCUUUUCUUAUUUAGCAUUAAUUCAUUUCCUUGAUCAAUUUUAAGUUAUCAUAUGGAGAUUUUCAUUAAAAAUUGCAUGGUUUUUACAAAGAACUUUUUUCACAUCUGAAGAAUUCUUCUUUUGGAUGGGGCAAAUGAGGGUUUGGUUAUUGUGUCAUAUUCUCGCGGAGUGAGUUUUAGAGAACCUUUUAAAAACCAAUUAAUGGAGUUCUUCAGGAACACUUGUGGAUGAGAAGAUUUCAGAGGAAGAUAUGGAGUUGUCUUCUUCCCUCAGUGAAAUCUGAUGUUUGGCAGGAACACUUGUGUAUCUUCUUUCAUUGGUGUUUUUGAAUGAAAUAUGUCAAGUCUAACACUAAGGUACAAGAUUGUUUUGUAUGCUAUAGCCAUGGUGGUAGAUUUUGAUCAUGAAAAUUGUGAGGUAUUUUUGGUUUCUCUCUGUUUCAGGUGAAAAGAACAAAACAUGACGAAUCAGAGCUAAGCUACGGUCUGCCCGUAGCCAGCGUUACGUCCCGUAGCACACCAGAAGCUGUGUCAUAUUCCAUUUUCACAACAGGGUUCAGACUGCUUAAGCUGUUUUAUUUCUGCAUCGAACACUAAUUUUAAGCCAUUCUUAAUAGAUUUUAGGCCUUCUGGUGUGUCACUUACAAGCAACUAGACAUACUUAAAUCAAACAUCAAGCCUUAUAGUGGUACCUUGAUGGAGUUCUCAGGAGACAAUGCAGAAGGCACGAGAUUCCUUGAAUUGUGACUUUCAUGGUCGAUGUGUGAAAAUUUUCAUUUCUGAAAAGGAUGUUGAUGGUCGAUGAAACGUUGGCAUACAACCUCGCCAUUGUAAGUAGACACAUGCUAAAUUCAAUUUGAGACCUUGUAUCAAAACCCCACUUAGCAAUGAAGUUUUCUUUAGAGAACAUGGAGAUUUCAACGUCAAGAAUAUUUUUAUGGAGUCCAACGUACAUGCCCGACAUGUUCUCAAUAUUUGGUGAUUAUUGUUCCUUUAUUUUUCUGCUUGUAUAGAAUUCCUAACUUCACAUUACAUGUUUGUUUGAAAGUUCACAACAAUCAACCAAUGCCAUGAGCAAAAUUAGAUAUACAUUCUAACAAAAUUUAACUUUUCGUUUUUGUUGUUGUUGUUGAUGUACUAAAAGAAUACAUGGAUGACUAUAAUUUGUUU